GGAAUUGACGGGGACCCGCACAAGCGGUGGAUGAUGUGGUUUAAUUCGAUGCAACGCGAAAACCUUACCCACCUUUGACAUGUACGGAAUCCUUUAGAGAUAGAGGAGUGCUCGAAAGAGAGCCGUAACACAGGUGCUGCAUGGCUGUCGUCAGCUCGUGUCGUGAGAUGUUGGGUUAAGUCCCGCAACGAGCGCAACCCUUGUCAUUAGUUGCUACAUUUGGUUGGGCACUCUAAUGAGACUGCCGGUGACAAGCCGGAGGAAGGUGGGGAUGACGUCAAGUCCUCAUGGCCCUUAUAGGUGGGGCUACACACGUCAUACAAUGGCUGGUACAAAGGGUUGCCAACCCGCGAGGGGGAGCUAAUCCCACAAAGCCAGUCGUAGUCCGGAUCGUAGUCUGCAACUCGACUACGUGAAGUCGGAAUCGCUAGUAAUCGUGGAUCAGAAUGUCACGGUGAAUACGUUCCCGGGUCUU
rnacentral:rRNA from 1 species